GCUGAUUCAUCAGCUCACAGUGAAACGAGCUUGCAUGAGAGCAUCCCAGGAUCACUGAACAUUCAGAGAUGCUGUGCUGGGGCCUGAGCAAAGCCAGGCAAGAUGUGGUUCCUGCUAUCAAGCUGACUGACAUCUAUCAGAAAGAACAGAUCACGACAUGGUAUCCUGCUAUGUUGACGAGGCUGGUCUCAAACUCCUGGACCCACGAGACUCUCCUGCCUUGGCCUCCCAAAGUGCUGGGAUUACAGAGAUGAGCCACUGUGCCUGGCCACUGUUUUUUAAAUAUUAAGAAAAAAAUGAAUAGAGAGAAGGUGAGCAGAAAGG
rnacentral:lncRNA from 1 species